rnacentral:rRNA from 1 species
GUGCCAGCCGCCGCGGUAAUACAGAGGGUGCAAGCGUUGCUCGGAUUUACUGGGCGUAAAGCGUACGCAGACGGUGAGAAAGGUCGGAUGUGAAAGCCCCGGGCUCAACCCGGGAACUGCAUCCGAAACCAUCUCGCUCGAGUGUGGGAGAGGGAAGCGGAAUUCCUGGUGUAGAGGUGAAAUUCGUAGAUAUCAGGAGGAACACCGGCGGCGAAGGCGGCUUCCUGGCCCAUUACUGACGUUCAGGUACGAAAGCGUGGGUAGCAAACAGGAUUAGAAACCCGUGUAGUCC